rnacentral:rRNA from 1 species
CAUGCAAGUCGAACGGAAGUUUAAGCAAUUAAACUUUAGUGGCGAACGGGUGAGUAACGCGUAAGCAAUCUGCCCCUAAGACGAGGAUAACAGUUGGAAACGACUGCUAAGACUGGAUAGGAGACAAGAAGGCAUCUUCUUGUUUUUAAAAGACCUAGCAAUAGGUAUGCUUAGGGAGGAGCUUGCGUCACAUUAGUUAGUUGGUGGGGUAAAGGCCUACCAAGACUAUGAUGUGUAGCCGGGCUGAGAGGUUGAACGGCCACAUUGGGACUGAGACACGGCCCAAACUCCUACGGGAGGCAGCAGUAGGGAACUUUCGGCAAUGGAGGAAACUCUGACCGAGCAACGCCGCGUGAACGAUGAAGUAUUUCGAUACGUAAAGUUCUUUUAUUAGGGAAGAAUAAAUGAUGGAAAAAUCAUUCUGACGGUACCUAAUGAAUAAGCCCCGGCUAACUAUGUGCCAGCAGCCGCGGUAAUACAUAGGGGGCAAGCGUUAUCCGGAAUUAUUGGGCGUAAAGGGUGCGUAGGCGGUUAAAUAAGUUUAUGGUCUAAGUGCAAUGCUCAACAUUGUGAUGCUAUAAAAACUGUUUAGCUAGAGUAAGAUAGAGGCAAGUGGAAUUCCAUGUGUAGUGGUAAAAUGCGUAAAUAUAUGGAGGAACACCAGUAGCGAAGGCGGCUUGCUGGGUCUUUACUGACGCUGAGGCACGAAAGCGUGGGGAGCAAACAGGAUUAGAUACCCUGGUAGUCCACGCCGUAAACGAUGAGUACUAAACGUUGGGUAAAACCAGUGUUGAAGUUAACACAUUAAGUACUCCGCCUGAGUAGUACGUACGCAAGUAUGAAACUUAAAGGAAUUGACGGGACUCCGCACAAGCGGUGGAUCAUGUUGUUUAAUUCGAAGGUACCCGAAAAACCUCACCAGGUCUUGACAUGCUUCUGCAAAGCUGUAGAAACACAGUGGAGGUUAUCAGUUGCACAGGUGGUGCAUGGUUGUCGUCAGCUCGUGUCGUGAGAUGUUGGGUUAAGUCCCGCAACGAGCGCAACCCUUAUUGUUAGUUACCAGCACGUAAUGGUGGGGACUUUAGCAAGACUGCCAGUGAUAAAUUGGAGGAAGGUGGGGACGACGUCAAAUCAUCAUGCCCCUUAUGACCUGGGCUACAAACGUGAUACAAUGGCUGUUACAAAGGGUAGCUGAAGCGCAAGUUUUUGGCGAAUCUCAAAAAAACAGUCUCAGUUCGGAUUGAAGUCUGCAACUCGACUUCAUGAAGUUGGAAUCGCUAGUAAUCGCGAAUCAGCAUGUCGCGGUGAAUACGUUCUCGGGGUUUGUACACACCGCCCGUCAAACCACGAAAGUUGGCAAUACCCAAAGCCGGUGGCCUAACUUCGCAAGAAGAGGGAACCGUCUAAGGUAGGGUCGAUGAUUGGGGUUAAG